rnacentral:rRNA from 1 species
UACGAAGGGUGCAAGCGUUACUCGGAAUUACUGGGCGUAAAGCGUGCGUAGGUGGUUCGUUAAGUCUGUCGUGAAAGCCCCGGGCUCAACCUGGGAAUGCCAUUCGAGACUGCAUAGCUAGGGUGCGGAAGAGGGAAGCGGAAUUUCCGGUGUAGCAGUGAAAUGUGUAGAUAUUCGGAAGAACACCAGUGGCGAAGGCAGCGAACUGGCGCUCGAUUGACGCUCAGGCACGAAAGCAUGGGGAUCAAACAGG